AGUCGAGGGGCAGCAUGGGGAGUAGCAAUACUCUCUGAUGGCGACCGGCGCAAGGGUGCGUAACGCGUGAGCAACUUGCCCUCAUCAGGGGAAUAAUCGCUGGAAACGGCGUCUAAUGCCCCAUGGUGAUGUCCUCAGGCAUCUGAGGUCAUCUAAAGAUCCGUCGGAUGGGGAUAGGCUCGCGUGACAUUAGCUAGACGGCGGGGUAACGGCCCACCGUGGCGACGAUGUCUAGGGGUUCUGAGAGGAAGGUCCCCCACACUGGAACUGAGACACGGUCCAGACUCCUACGGGAGGCAGCAGUGAGGAAUAUUGGUCAAUGGCCGGAAGGCUGAACCAGCCAUGCCGCGUGAAGGUCAGUGCCCUAUGGGCGUUAAACUUCUUUUGUGCGGGAGCAAUAAUGGUCACGUGUGGCCAGGCGAGAGUACCGUACGAAUAAGCAUCGGCUAACUCCGUGCCAGCAGCCGCGGUAAUACGGGGGAUGCAAGCGUUAUCCGGAUUUAUUGGGUUUAAAGGGAGCGUAGACGGCAGCGCAAGUCUGGAGUGAAAUCCCAUGGCUUAACCAUGGAACUGCUUUGGAAACUGUGCAGCUAGAGUGCAGGAGAGGUAAGCGGAAUUCCUAGUGUAGCGGUGAAAUGCGUAGAUAUUAGGAGGAACACCAGUGGCGAAGGCGGCUUACUGGACUGUAACUGACGUUGAGGCUCGAAAGCGUGGGGAGCAAACAGGAUUAGAUACCCUGGUAGUCCACGCUGUAAACGAUGAUUACUAGGCGUUGGGGGACCAAGGUCCUUCGGUGCCGGCGCAAACGCAUUAAGUAAUCCACCUGGGGAGUACGUUCGCAAGAAUGAAACUCAAAGGAAUUGG
rnacentral:rRNA from 1 species